UACAGAGGUCCCGAGCGUUGUUCGGAUUCACUGGGCGUAGAGGGUGCGUAGGUGGUGACGUAAGUCGGAUGUGAAAUCUCGGAGCUCAACUCCGAAACGGCAUUGGAAACUGCGUUGCUAGAGGGUUGGAGGGGGGACUGGAAUGCUUGGUGUAGCAGUGAAAUGCGUAGAUAUCAAGCGGAACACCAGUGGCGAAGGCGAGUCCCUGGACAACACCUGACACUGAGGCACGAAAGCUAGGGGAGCAAACGGG
rnacentral:rRNA from 1 species